ACUUAAAUAGCUUAUAUUUAGAGCGCAAUAUUGAAGAUAUUGAAGAAACGUAUGUUUUUAGGUA
rnacentral:tRNA from 1 species